GACGAACGCUGGCGGCGUGCUUAACACAUGCAAGUCGAACGGUAAGGCCCUUCGGGGUACACGAGUGGCGAACGGGUGAGUAACACGUGGGUGAUCUGCCCUGCACUUCGGGAUAAGCCUGGGAAACUGGGUCUAAUACCGGAUAGGACCCUGGGAUGCAUGUCCUGGGGUGGAAAGCUUUUGCGGUGUGGGAUGGGCCCGCGGCCUAUCAGCUUGGUGGUGGGGUGAUGGCCUACCAAGGCGACGAGGGGUAGCCGGCCUGAGAGGGUGACCGGCGUCACGGGGACUGAGAGACGGGCCAGACUCCUACGGGAGGCAGCAGUGGGGAAUAUUGCACAGUGGGCGCAAGACUGAUGCAGCGACGCCGCGUGAGGGAUGACGGCCUUCGGGUUGUAAACCUCUUUCAGCACCGACGAAGCGCAAGUGACGGUAGGUGCAGAAGAAGGACCGGCCAACUACGUGCCAGCCGCCGCAGUAA
rnacentral:rRNA from 1 species